rnacentral:rRNA from 1 species
CCUACGGGAGGCAGCAGUGGGGAAUUUUGGACAAUGGGCGAAAGCCUGAUCCAGCCAUGCCGCGUGAGUGACGAAGGCCCUAAGGGUUGUAAAGCUCUUUUGCCGGGGACGAUAAUGACGGUACCCGGAGAAUAAGUACCGGCUAACUUCGUGCCAGCAGCCGCGGUAAU